rnacentral:lncRNA from 1 species
UAAAUGUGAUAUUAAGUUCAUGUGCCAAAAAUAUUGGCGAAUAAAAAAUCCCCAAUCAAAGCUAAUAACUCUGAGUACCAAGCCAAACUCGGAGACUUGCAAGUCUAUUCCGGAUAAUACGAUCAAUGAAGGUAGACAUGAGUGUAGGAUUGCGUGCCUUGUUCCCAAUGUUAACACCUAUUUUUCUCAAAUCAGAUAGAGUGCAUA